UACGUAGGGGGCAAGCGUUGUCCGGAAUCAUUGGGCGUAAAGCGCGUGUAGGCGGCUCGAUAAGUCUGCUGUGAAAGUCCAGGGCUCAACCCUGGGAUGCCGGUGGAUACUGUCGAGCUCGAGUCCGGAAGAGGCGAGUGGAAUUCCUGGUGUAGCGGUGAGAUGCGCAGAUAUCAGGAGGAACACCAGUGGCGAAGGCGGCUAUCUGGGCUGAAACUGACGCUGAGGCGCGAAGGCUAGGGUAGCAAACAGG
rnacentral:rRNA from 1 species